UUGAACGCUGGCGGCAUGCCUUACACAUGCAAGUCGAACGGCAGCACGGGGCAACCUGGUGGCGAGUGGCGAACGGGUGAGUAAUGCAUCGGAACGUGCCAUUGAGUGGGGGAUAACGUAGCGAAAGUUGCGCUAAUACCGCAUAUUCUGUGAGCAGGAAAGCAGGGGACCGCAAGGCCUUGCGCUCUUUGAGCGGCCGAUGUCAGAUUAGCUAGUUGGUGAGGUAACGGCUUACCAAGGCGACGAUCUGUAGCGGGUCUGAGAGGAUGAUCCGCCACACUGGAACUGAGACACGGUCCAGACUCCUACGGGAGGCAGCAGUGGGGAAUUUUGGACAAUGGGCGCAAGCCUGAUCCAGCCAUGCUGCGUGAGUGAAGAAGGCCUUCGGGUUGUAAAGUUCUUUCGGCCGGGAAGAAAUCGCAUGGGUUAAUACCCUGUGUGGAUGACGGUACCGGAAUAAGAAGCACCGGCUAACUACGUG
rnacentral:rRNA from 1 species